rnacentral:rRNA from 1 species
UACGUAGGGGGCAAGCGUUAUCCGGAUUUACUGGGUGUAAAGGGAGCGUAGACGGCCAGACAAGUCUGAAGUGAAAAUCCAGCGCUUAACGUUGGAAGUGCUUUGGAAACUGCCGGGCUGGAGUGCAGGAGGGGCAGGCGGAAUUCCUAGUGUAGCGGUGGAAUGCGUAGAUAUUAGGAGGAACACCAGUGGCGAAGGCGGCCUGCUGGACUGCAACUGACGUUGAGGCUCGAAGGCGUGGGGAGCAAACAGG